rnacentral:lncRNA from 1 species
CAAAUAUCUUCUUAAAUUCAGGACCUUUUGUGAAGUUUUGAAAGUUUUUGCUCAGUUCGUUACGCUCAAUACGUAACGAACAUUAGCUGGAUCACAAGUCACCAACAUGUCCAUGUUGCCAAACCGUGGGCCUUUAAACCAAACAGUGGUGGAGCUCUCAAGAAGCUCGAUGAUAUAGUCGUGAAUUCUGUGAAUAUUGAAAAUUAGCAAUGGCAUCAUACCAAAAAGUGGCAAGUUUGUAUGCAGUAAUCUUUCCUUUCUUUUUCCAUCGAAGUUUCUGCAGGAAAGAAAAGUAGCAGACAAAAUUACAAGCAACAGUAAGACGAAGUUUAUGAUGGCCAAUAUAUCUAGUGCAUGUAUUCUGAAAAUCAAAGGUUAAAUGGUGAGGUUUCAUAAAUUUUGGCUGAUAAUGAUAUGCUGCGUGUCUUGUGGGUCUUUUAUAACGGGCAUUUCUUCAAAUGAGCAAGUCAUUUUCGAGGACAUCAUAGUUAUUUCUGCCAUUUGGCUGGAUGUAAUUGUAAUGGACAAGCGUCCUGCUUCAUUGGUUGCAAAUGUCAUGUUUUCUGGCAAGAAUUAAAUGAGUAACUAUGAGAACUUUGGUAAUCUCAAACCAUAGACAUACAUCUUGC